UACAGAGGGUGCAAGCGUUAAUCGGAAUGACUGGGCGUAAAGGGCGCGUAGGCGGAUAAUUAAGUCAGAUGUGAAAUACCCGGGCUUAACCUGGGGGGUGCAUCUGAUACUGGUUGUCUGGAGUAGAGUAGAGGGAAGUGGAAUUUCCGGUGUAGCGGUGAAAUGCGUAGAUAUCGGAAAGAACAUCAGUGGCGAAGGCGACUUUCUGGACUCAUACUGACGCUGAGGCGCGAAAGCGUGGGUAGCAAACAGG
rnacentral:rRNA from 1 species